UACGUAGGGGGCAAGCGUUGUCCGGAAUUAUUGGGCGUAAAGCGCGCGCAGGCGGUCUUUUAAGUCUGAUGUGAAAUCUUGCGGCUUAACCGCAAGCGGUCAUUGGAAACUGGAGGACUUGAGUGCAGAAGAGGAGAGUGGAAUUCCACGUGUAGCGGUGAAAUGCGUAGAGAUGUGGAGGAACACCAGUGGCGAAGGCGACUCUCUGGUCUGUAACUGACGCUGAGGCGCGAAAGCGUGGGUAGCGAACAGG
rnacentral:rRNA from 1 species